rnacentral:rRNA from 1 species
GAGUUUGAUCAUGGCUCAGGAUGAACGCUGGCGGCGUGCUUAACACAUGCAAGUCGAACGGACCAUUUCGGUGGUCAGUGGCGCACGGGUGAGGAACACGUAGCUCAUCUGCCCCAAAGCGCGGGAUAACGCUCCGAAAGGAGUGCUAAUACCGCAUAAGCUCACGAGUUGCAGAGGCUUGUGAGAAAAGGCUUCGGUCACUUUGGGAGGAGGCUGCGGCCCAUCAGGUAGUUGGUGCGGUAACGGCGCACCAAGCCGACGACGGGUAGGGGACCUGAGAGGGUGAUCCCCCACACUGGGACUGAGACACGGCCCAGACUCCUACGGGAGGCAGCAGUGAGGAAUAUUGCCCAAUGGAGGAAACUCUGAGGCAGGGACGCCGCGUGGGUGAAGAAGGCCUUCGGGUCGUAAAGCCCUUUUCUGCGUGACGAGAAAGGGACGGUAGCGCAGGAAAAAG